UGAGUACGAGAUGCUACGGCAUCGAAGCAGUCUAUGUCAUACUUCCAAGAAAAGCUUGCACUGUCAGAAACAGAUAAUGCCUGUACCAUAACCGACACAGGUGGGUAGGUAGAGUAUACUAAGGGGCGCGAGAUAACUCUCUCUAAGGAACUCGGCAAAAUGACUCCGUAACUUCGGGAGAAGGAGUGCCUUAUUUUUAAGGUUGCAAUAACAAGAUCCAAGCAACUGUUUACCAAAAACACAGGUCUCCGCUAAGUCGUAAGACGAUGUAUGGGGGCUGACGCCUGCCCAGUGCCAGAAGGUUAAAGAAGUCGGUUAGCAUUCGCGAAGCUGGUAACUGAAGCCCUGGUGAACGGCGGCCGUAACAAUAACGGUCCUAAGGUAGCGAAAUCCCUUGUCGGGUAAGUUCCGACCCGCACGAAAGGCGUAAUGAUUUGGAUACUGUCUCGGAGAGGGGCUCGGUGAAAUAGACUUGUCUGUGAAGAUGCGGACUACCUGCACCUGGACAGAAAGACCCUAUGAAGCUUUACUGUAACUUGAAAUUGAAAUUGGACUUUAUUUGCGCAGUAUAGGUGGGAGGCGUUGAAAAUAUUCUUGCGGGAAUAUUGGAGCCAUCAGUGAGAUACCACUCUUGUAAUGUUAGAUUUCUAACUUUAUAUCAUUAUCUGGUUAAAGAACAGUUUCAGGCGGGCAGUUUGACUGGGGCGGUCGCCUCCCAAAUGGUAACGGAGGCGCACAAAGGUUUCCUCUGAACGGGUAGAAAUCGUAUCUAGAGUGUAAAGGCAUAAGGAAGCUUGACUGUGAGACCUACAAGUCGAGCAGGGACGAAAGUCGGUCUUAGUGAUCUGACGGUGCUGAGUGGAAAGGCCGUCACUCAACGGAUAAAAGUUACUCUAGGAUAACAGGCUGAUCUCCCCCAAGAGUUCACAUCGACGGGGAGGUUUGGCACCUCGAUGUCGGCUCAUCGCAUCCUGGGGCGGUAGUACGUCCCAAGGGUUGGGCUGUUCGCCCAUGAAAGCGGUACGCGAGCUGGGUUCAGAACGUCGUGAGACAGUUCGGUCCAUAUCCGGUGUAGGCGUUAGAAUAUUGAGAGGAGCCUUCUUUAGUACGAGAGGACCGAGAAGGACAUACCUCUGGUGUACCAGUUAUCGUGCCAACGGUAAACGCUGGGUAGCUAUGUAUGGAGUGGAUAACCGCUGAAAGCAUCUAAGUGGGAAGCCCACCUCAAGAUAAG
rnacentral:rRNA from 1 species